GCUGCUGGUUGAGAGGCCUUGGCAUUGACUAGGAAUGUCAGAGGAGAAAGAGUCCUAUAAUUAUGGAGAAGAAAAUUUCUGUUGGCAGAAAGAUGGAGAGUAACUCUUCUGCAAGAACAUUAUAAAGAAAGGCACAGAAGAAGAGGAAGCCAGUAUGCUUAAACAAGGUAAAGAAAAUGCUGUGCCAUUUUGGAGGUGGCAGGUCCAGGCCCUGUGUCUUCCCUACACUAGCAGGGCACUGGAAAGAUGACCACAUUUAGAAGAUCAGACAUCUAGGAAGGGAUAGUGACUCCAUCAGUGGUAUGGAAACCAGAUCCCUCUAGGAGUUGGAAACUGAGGAUGUAAAGAAGCUCACAGAUGGGAAACAUUUGACAUUGUAGCACUUGUUUUGCAAAAGUUUUAAAGAACUGCAAUUUUUCAGGAUGCCUGAUUUUAACAGGAAACUGCUUUCCUACAAAUGUAUUUAUCAUGGAAAGUGGUUUCAGAAGGACUUCUGUGAUACUAUUUCAAAGUAUACAUUUCCCCUAAAAUAAGUAACACAGUUUCCCCUAAAAUAAGUAACACAGCCUCUUUCCCAGAGGCUUCCUCCCCCAAAAAAACUCCAUUGUUUUGGGGAAGGACUUUUAAACUGAGGAACUUGUCAUACGUAGGAGUGUGAUCUUCAACCUACCUCUUUGUAGAGUGAGAACACCAAGGAAUACAUGACUGCCAUUGAGGAGAAUAUCGGAGAAAAUGCAGGGAGCUGUACAUGUUUUUUUCGUAGCAAGCCUCAUCCGGCAGCAACAGCAGCAAUUCCAGGACCUUCUGGUCCAGAGGCGUGCCAACCUACACAAUAUGCAGUACUGGCUGUCAAUCCAAACCUUGUACUAUCAAAGCCAGGCUCUGAUGAUGACUCAAAAGCAUAUCUAUCUACAUUUGAAUAGGUUACCAUGGCAACCUCUCUGGCCUAAAAAGAGAUGGACCACAUUAGUUACUUAGCAGAACCUUUUUGACAGGCGAAACACAAGCUGCUCACUCCAGAUGAUGGUUUGAUUUAGAAUUAAGUCUGUCUGAGUGCUGCCAUGGUGUUCUCUGAAGUGUUAAUGAUGUAACCCAGAGAGAAGAACUUCUUUUGGGACUUCAGUUUGUGGCCUAGUACCACAGGGACUGAGCUAUGUGGUGGCUUUCCCUGAGAAACACAAGUUAACAGAACAGUUGACAUCAUCACCUUUUUUCUAUAUUCUGAAGAUCUUCCAAGCUGGGUCUGCUGGCCUAAGAAGGCCACUUUCAAAGAGGAUAUGCAGGAUACCAAGAAUUAUUUGAAUUGCUACUGGCACAAUACAUCAUCUAGCCAGAAACAUCUAUUCAAAGCACAAAUACUAAGUACUGGAAAGGUCAGAGUGCCCAUGACUGGUGUGAAGGAAGCCUGGAGUUGUGACAGAAAUGCACACACUCCAAGACAAAACUGCAUGGCUACACGGGCUUUUUAGGGUUUGGAUCACAGAAUGAAGACUUCCAGAACAUACAGUAAAGAGGCAAAUAGACCCCUCUACUCAGUGUAGGAACAUUGGAAAGGGAAAAACUGGAUAUGUUACCCAUAACUGCACUCCACUAUCAGUUAACUGUGUGGGUGAAACAACAAAAUCAGUAUAUAUAGUUUGAAGCAGGGAUAGAUGGAUCCAAGCUGGUAAGAUACUGAGCAGCUUCCAUAGACUUGGGAAGUAUUUAGCCCUUUAAUUAAGAAAACAUCUUCAUCCCCCAAAUGGUAGAGACUGUCUUACUGAUACAGUGUGUACUCAGAAGGCUGCAAAAAUUACUAUUGACAUAACUAUACUGCUUUAAUUCUAUGAUUGGCAGAACACUGGCUUGAAUAACUGAAAAGAUAUUUUUAAAUACUAGUUAUGUGAGUAGACAUUCCUAGCUCAGGAGUUACGAAGUCCCAGUAAUCUUCCACAGGAAGUGAGGACGGUUCCAAAAGUACCUAUUGCUUCUAACAUUUUGGAACCCAGGUAGAUAAAUUUGGCAUCAUAUACAGGCUUGUAGACUAUGCCCACAAUCAUCAGCA